GCUGGGCAUGGCAGUGCGCGCCUGUAGUUCCAGCUACUCAGGAGGCUGAGGCGACAAGAUAGCUUGAGCCCAGGAGAUCUGGGCUGAAGUGCACUAUGUGGAUGAGGUGUCUGCAUCAAGUUCAGUGUCAGUAUUGUGACCUACAAGGAGCAGGGAGACACCAGGUUGUCUAAGGAAGAGUGAACAGGCUCAGGUCAGAAACAGAGCAGGUCAAAUUCCCUGUGCUGAUUAAUAGUGGGGUCGUAUAACCACUGAAACUGCAUUCCAGCCUGGCCAACAUAGCGAGAUCCCAUCUCU
rnacentral:SRP_RNA from 1 species